UACGUAGGGGGCAAGCGUUGCCCGGAUUUAUUGGGCGUAAAGAGCGUGUAGGCGGUUUGGUAGGUCCGCUGUGAAAACUCGAGGCUCAACCUCGAGACGCCGGUGGAAACCAUCAGGCUAGAGUCCGGAAGAGGAGAGUGGAAUUCCUGGUGUAGCGGUGAAAUGCGCAGAUAUCAGGAAGAACACCCGUGGCUAAGGCGGCUCUCUAGUACGGUACUGACGCUGAGACGCGAAAGCGUGGGGAGCGAACAGG
rnacentral:rRNA from 1 species